GGAUGUGAAGGUGAUCUGGCUGCGACAUCUGUCACCCCAUUGAUCACCAGGGUUGAUGUGGCUGACCUGGCUGGCUAGGUGGGCGCCCCCUUCCUUCCCUCUCUUCCAUGUGCGUCCCUCCUGAAGUUGUACCUUCAGUUGAAGGGGUGAGUACACCCAGUAGAGGAGGACUGUUUCCAGGUCAAGAGUACACAAGCAGCUGUGCACCCCAAACAUGCUCUCAGAUUAUCAGAUUUACCAUCAUUUAGUCAAAGCAUUAAUUUGCUAGAUUUUCGUGAAUAGUAAAUGCUCUUGGAGCAUUUAGAUU
ensembl:misc_RNA 7SK 7SK RNA